rnacentral:rRNA from 1 species
CCUAACACAUGCAAGUCGAACGGUAACAGGAAGCAGCUUGCUGCUUCGCUGACGAGUGGCGGACGGGUGAGUAAUGUCUGGGAAGCUGCCUGAUGAAGGGGGAUAACUACUGGAAACGGUAGCUAAUACCGCAUAAUGUCGCAAGACCAAAGAGGGGGACCUUCGGGCCUCUUGCCAUCGGAUGUGCCCAGAUGGGAUUAGCUUGUUGGUGGGGUAACGGCUCACCAAGGCGACGAUCCCUAGCUGGUCUGAGAGGAUGACCAGCCACACUGGAACUGAGACACGGUCCAGACUCCUACGGGAGGCAGCAGUGGGGAAUAUUGCACAAUGGGCGCAAGCCUGAUGCAGCCAUGCCGCGUGUAUGAAGAAGGCCUUCGG